UUCUUAUAACAAUCAUUAAAUGAUGAGACACUACAGCCUGCUUUCAUACACAAGGCCUGUAGAUGGACUUACCCCCUAAACCCCACUGGCACUUCUUCUUCCCUAUAUUACAAGGCAACUCUUAAAGUAAACUUAGCAGAGAGACACGCAGAAGGAACAAAGAGAAGGAGAGUCUUGAAAGCAAGAGACAUUCCCCGGCAAAUUGAAACGGUUCUAACUCGUGCAUAUGUCAUCUUCCUUAUGUCUGUCUACAUGCUAUCUUCAUUUAGCAGUGAUACAGAUGAGUUAAAUGUUACUCCAUGAAAAAUGCCGAUACAGAGUCCUGCAGCCAAAGACCCCAGUGCUGUCUCCUGCAGUAGCUAGACCUUCAAGUCAUUUCAUCAUGACAUCUGUUGUAUCUAUUCCAAAAUAAUUAUUAUUGUCAGUACUUAAAUACCUCCGGAACUACCUUGUAAAAAAGUAGACAUGGAGAGAAAAAGGAUUAUAUGACUCAUCUAUGGACUCCUUUAUAGACUAGUCUUCUACAAAAUAAUUAAAACAAUUGUAGCCAACUUUUUAUCAUAUCCGUUGCCGACGGUAAAAGCAACAAAAAUGUAGUUUUUGCCUUUCUUCUUUUGACUGCAUUUAUAUAUGAUUUUGGUGUUUGUGUGUUAAGAUGCAAGAAUAAAAUAUGCUCGACUCGUGACAUCUGCGGAUGUCUCUAAAUUGCUUUUUGUACUUUUAGCAUGUGUAAAUGUUGAGUUCUGCUCAACCCGGGGCUAGAGGGUGUGGACGGUAGCAUGCAUUUCAACUACCGUCCAUGAACAGGCUCAAUCAAACCGAGCCUGCAACAUUUUUCGUUUUUGUCGUGUUGAGCGACCUUUGAAGUUUCUACUUUUCUCUAUUUUACAACAGUUCAUGUGUGACCAAGAGGCUAUGGUUAUUGACAUUGGAACAGAUGCUCUUUCCUUUAAGGGGUGGAAACUUUUUGAAAUGUAUAGGUCUAUGUAGAUUUCUGUGUUAUGAGGAAGUUUUUUCACCUGACUGAGAAACUAAGAAAAGUUUGAUGGUUAUUCCCAGGUCUUCCUCAUAACAUGCAUCUAUUUCGUUGUAAAGUGGAUUGAAACAUUUUAAUAUUGUAAAUACUUCAACUUGUUACACUUAAUACUCUUGUGAUGCAAAUACUGUAUUGUUUUUGUGUUUUGUCUGUUAUAACAGUAAGUAAACUUUAAACAUA